rnacentral:rRNA from 1 species
AUUGAACGCUGGCGGCAUGCCUUACACAUGCAAGUCGAACGGCAGCACGGGUGCUUGCACCUGGUGGCGAGUGGCGAACGGGUGAGUAAUACAUCGGAACAUGUCCUGUAGUGGGGGAUAGGCGGGGGAAAGCGGGAUUAAUACCGAAUACGAUCUAGGGAUGCAAGCGGGGGACGUUCGGGCUUGGCGCUAUGGGGUUGGCCGAGGGGGGUUUAGCUAGUUGGUGGGGUAAAGGCCUACCAAUGCGACGAUCAGUAGCUGGUCUGAGGGGACGACCAGCCACACUGGGACUGAGACACGGCCCAGACUCCUACGGGAGGCAGCAGUGGGGAAUUUUGGACAAUGGGCGAAAGCCUGAUCCAGCAAUGCCGCGUGUGUGAAGAAGGCCUUCGGGUUGUAAAGCACUUUUGUCCGGAAAGAAAUCCUUGGCCCUAAUACGGUCGGGGGAUGACGGUACCGGAAGAAUAAGCACCGGCUAACUACGUG